rnacentral:rRNA from 1 species
UACGUAGGGGGCUAGCGUUGUCCGGAUUUAUUGGGCGUAAAGAGCGUGUAGGCGGCCAUGCAGGUCCGGUGUGAAAACUCGAGGCUUAACCUCGAGAUGUCAUCGGAAACCAUUUGGCUAGAGUCCGGAAGAGGGGAGUGGAAUUCCUGGUGUAGCGGUGAAAUGCGCAGAUAUCAGGAAGAACACCAAUGGCGAAAGCAGCUCUCUGGGACGGUACUGACGCUGACACGCGAAAGCGUGGGGAGCGAACAGG